rnacentral:lncRNA from 10 species
AAUAAAUCUAUUUGCUAGCCUUCUUCGGCUGCCUCUCACUGAACAGACUUGCCAGUGUUUUCCAGCAGCUUACCUGUUAACAGGUUGAGUGGACUCCCAUCGGCCCCCACCACCACCCUGAAAAAGAAAAAAAAAAAGGCUUCAGGCAAAGAAUUGCAGGUGUUCAUAGAAAGCAGCCUUCAAAGUGUACAGGAACAAGAUUGAGGAUCAACAAAGCUACUUGGAAAUAAUGGAUGCUAGAACUCUAAGGAACCCACAGAAGAUCAGUUCUCAAAUCACCAGCCACUGGGGAGCAAAUGAGCCAACCUCAAAAUUGACAAGCAGUUAUGGUGCUAUGUGUCUCCCGUGGGUACUGGACACUGUGUUGUAUGGGGCUCCUCAUCUUGAUCCAAGAAAUUCAAUGAACCCCAAGCACAAGAAACAUGAAAAACACUACACUCAGGCAUAUCACAAUCAAAUUGCAUAAAAUCAGUGAUAAAGUAAAAUACUAGAAUAAAGAGAAAAAUGUUAAACU